UUUGAUCGCGAAGAAGGAACUGGAAGCUGCGUUCAACCUGUUUAUUCCGUCAGUAACGACCGGUCAAUUGAACCUAGUGCAGUUAAAGUAUUACAGAGAUACACUUAAAUUGCCGGAUGGAUGACGCUAGGCUUGAAAGAAAUCCGUCAGAAGUUACCGUCGAAGGGUAAAUUGCUUCGAUUGAAAGCUGAAUCCGGCUAUGACAAAGGAAGUCAUUAAAGAAAAGGCUGUACAAUAAAAUGGCGUGAAAAAAGCAGUUAAUA